rnacentral:miRNA from 1 species
UGGGGGGACAGAUGGAGAGGACA